UACGAAGGGGGGCAAGCGUUGUUCGGAAUUACUGGGCGUAAAGGGCGCGUAGGCGGUGCGUUAAGUUAGGCGUGAAAGCCCUGGGCUCAACCCGGGAACUGCGCUUGAUACUGGCGCGCUUGAAUCCAGGAGAGGUUGGUGGAAUUCCCAGUGUAGAGGUGAAAUUCGUAGAGAUUGGGAAGAACACCGGUGGCGAAGGCGGCCAACUGGACUGGUAUUGACGCUGAGGCGCGAAAGCGUGGGGAGCAAACAGG
rnacentral:rRNA from 1 species